UUUCCGUAGGUGAACCUGCGGAGGGAUCAUUAUUGUAUAACCAAAGUCCGAGAACUAUCGCUGACGCUACCGAAAGUGCACGCCCGAGUGCCCUCACCCACAUCCAUCCCACCCCUGUCCCCGCCCCCCCCUGGGUCCCCCCUUGGCUUGUUCGGAGAGGGGCUUACGUUUUUGCACACACUUUGUCUUCUGUGUAGAAUGUGUCUUUUGUUUUUGCGAUCACGCACUCGAUACAACUUUCGACAACGGACCCCUUGGCUCUCGCAUCGAUGCAGAAGG
rnacentral:misc_RNA from 1 species